CCCAUCCGUAGUCCUUUAACCAUAAACUAUGCCGACUAGAGAUUGGAAGGUUCGUUCCAUUACAUC
rnacentral:rRNA from 1 species